rnacentral:rRNA from 1 species
AGCGAACGCUGGCGGCAGGCCUAACACAUGCAAGUCGAACGAAGUCUUCGGACUUAGUGGCGGACGGGUGAGUAACACGUGGGAACGUGCCUUUAGGUUCGGAAUAACUCAGAGAAACUUGUGCUAAUACCGAAUGUGCCCUUCGGGGGAAAGAUUUAUCGCCUUUAGAGCGGCCCGCGUCUGAUUAGCUAGUUGGUGAGGUAAAGGCUCACCAAGUCUACGAUCAGUAGCUGGCCUGAGAGGAUGACCAGCCACAUUGGGACUGAGACACGGCCCAAACUCCUACGGGAGGCAGCAGUGGGGAAUCUUGCGCAAUGGGCGAAAGCCUGACGCAGCCAUGCCGCGUGGAUGAUGAAGGUCUUAGGAUUGUAAAAUCCUUUCACCGGUGAAGAUAAUGACUGUAGCCGGAGAAGAAGCCCCGGCUAACUUCGUGCCAGCCGCCGCCGUAAGAC